AAUAAGAUUAUUUUUCAGUUUUUUGAUACAAUGUUUUAACUCUUCGUCUUAUUUAAAAAAUUUUUACGAUUAAUAUUUUUAGUCUUACUAGAUGAUAAAACAUGAAUAGUACUUUAUGCGUGACUAAUUUUUUUUAAGUUUUUAUAUAAUUUUUUUAAAUAAGAUGAAUGGUCAAAUGUUGUACACGAAAAA
rnacentral:pre_miRNA from 1 species